rnacentral:rRNA from 1 species
GGGGCGGCUGCUUAUAAUGCAAGUCGAGGGGCAGCACGAAUAGCAAUAUUUGGUGGCGACCGGCAAACGGGUGCGGAACACGUACGCAACCUUCCCAAAACUGGUGAAUAGCCCUCCGAAAGGAGGAUUAAUACACCGUACCAUAAUGGAGUGGCAUCACUUUAUUAUUAUAGGCAGCAAUGUCGGUUUUGGAUGGGCGUGCGCCUGAUUAGGUAGUUGGCGGGGUAACGGCCACCAAGCCUCCGAUCAGUAACUGGUGUGAGAGCACGACCAGUCACACGGGCACUGAGACACGGGCCCGACUCCUACGGGAGGCAGCAGUAAGGAAUAUUGGUCAAUGGACGCAAGUCUGAACCAGCCAUGCCGCGUGCAGGAUGAAGGCCCUCUGGGUUGUAAACUGCUUUUAUCUGGGACGAAAAAAGGGGAUUCUUCCUCACUUGACGGUACCAGAGGAAUAAGCACCGGCUAACUCCGUGCCAGCAGCCGCGGUAAUACGGAGGGUGCAAGCGUUAUCCGGAUUUACUGGGUUUAAAGGGUGCGUAGGUGGGUAGGUAAGUCAGUGGUGAAAUCUUCAAGCUUAACUUGGAAACUGCCAUUGAUACUAUUUAUCUUGAAUACUUUGGAGGUAAGCGGAAUAUGUCAUGUAGCGGUGAAAUGCUUAGAUAUGACAUAGAACACCAAUCGCGAAGGCAGCUUACUACACAGUUAUUGACACUGAGGCACGAAAGCGUGGGGAUCAAACAGGAUUAGAUACCCUGGUAGUCCACGCCCUAAACGAUGGAUACUCGACAUUAGCGAUACACAGUUAGUGUCUGAGCG